GUUUGAAGUUUUCAAUUCCUCAAAUAUUUCAAAUAAAGGGACACACGGAGUUCGGUCUGCCAUCGAAAUGAAUUUCUAUCCUUUGAUCUUUUCUUGGCUUAAGAUGUUCCUUUUUAGGAAGGGAGAGGUUUUGAUGCUAUUCAUCAGUUUUCCUUCUACCUCUGUUGGAAGCUUCUUCUCGCUUGUACUGUGUGUGACGAUCCGCAUCUUUGGCCUCUGCUUGGUCCUAGAGCCUUGGUCUCGACGAGCUGCUUUUGCUUCACUGUUAGUUUAGUUGCUGAUGGGUGAGUUGCACGAGUCCUAUGGCUCCAAUCGUAUUGGGUUCGGCGUUACUUUUUCUGAGUCGAG
rnacentral:misc_RNA from 1 species